rnacentral:tRNA from 3 species
GGGCCCGUAGCUCAGCUGGGAGAGCGCCGGCCUUGCAAGCCGGAGGCCGUGGGUUCAAAUCCCACCGGGUCCACUA